rnacentral:lncRNA from 1 species
UUUGAUAACAUAUAAAACCAGGACUUAAACUGUUGUUGUCUAGAAAAUGGAUGGGUUAGAUAUAAUUCAUGGUUGUAAGUUUAGAAAGGGUCGAGAUGUGUAAGUGGAAUUGUAAAACACUUAUGGGAAAAAAAAAACAUAUAAAACCAGGAUAAAGAUAAACACUAACUUGAUUUUAAUCUUCGUCACUUGGUGAUGGGCCAAACUGUUUUCAAUUAUUUUUAACCAAAUCAAUUUUUUUGUGUGUGAUUGCAGAGAAUGUUUUCCAAAUUAGUAGGUAUAUUUUGUAGAAUAUGUAGAAUUUACUUGUGUGCAUAUGUCCAGUUUCUUCGACUUAGCUUGUUCGAAUUGGG